UAUUUUACCUGCUGGAAACCUUGCCUGUGGAUUUACUAUUUACUUGUUCCUGAGCCUCACUUGGAUUAUAAGCGAAGAUAACCUGGGGAAUAUUGCAUCUCCGCUACACCCACAGUAAAGCCAGAUCCUGUUUGACCCUCAAUGCGGAGCCUUGUCUAGAUUAUUGAGGGGCGAGGGGUAGUGAUUGUGAUGCCACCGGGAACUGAUUGCUGAAACCGAAAGCUGCUUGGUGGAUAUCUUUGUUCGGCGGUUAGUGGAUUUCUGUUCGGGAGUUUGGAGCCUUUCACGGAUCCCGGUCGGGAGAUUACCGCUUCCCCUGAUGGUGGUUCGUAUACUGCAGUCUGUGCGAAUGGAGUUCAUGAUAUUGCGAAAGUGGAAGGUUAACUAAACGGUGGUUUCUCUUAAAGACACCAGGGGUGUCUUAACAGCAGCCGUCUACAAGGAGAUUUUGUAUCACUUCAUGCUUCCUUCCGCAGACUAGCUUUAUGGGGAUGCUAACUUCAUUUUCCAGCAGGACUUGGCACCUGCCCACACUGCCAAAAGCACCAGAGCCUGAUUCAAUGACCGUUGGAUUACUGUGCUUGAUUGGCCAGCAAACUUGCCUGACCUGAACCCCAUAGAGAAUCUAUGGGGCAUUGCCAAGAGAAAGAUGAGACAUGAGACCAAGCAAUGCAGUAGAGUCUUCCAUAACACCUCAGCAGUGCCACAGGUUGAUAACUUCCAUGCCAUAUUGAGGCAGUAAUUGCUGCAGAAGGGGCCCAAACCAAGUACUGAGUCCAUAUGCAUGCUUAUACUUUUCAGAGGUCCAAUAUUGUUCUAUGUACACUCCUUGUUUUAUUGAUUGCAUGCAAUAUUCUAAUUUACUGAGAUUGUGGAUUUGGGGUUGUCAUGAGCUGUAAGCCAUAAUCAUCGCACUUAUGACA